rnacentral:rRNA from 1 species
GACAGAGGGUGCAAACGUUGUUCGGAAUUACUGGGCGUAAAGCGAGUGUAGGCGGUCUGCUAAGUCGGGUGUGAAAGCCCCGGGCUCAACCCGGGAAGUGCACUCGAAACUGGCAGGCUAGAGUAUCGGAGAGGUUGGUGGAAUUCUCGGUGUAGAGGUGAAAUUCGUAGGUAUCGAGAGGAACACCGGUGGCGAAGGCGGCCAACUGGACGAAUACUGACGCUGAGACUCGAAAGCGUGGGGAGCAAACAGG